ACUACUUUGUUGUUCUUCACAAUUAGUUGGAGCUUUCUUUGGUCAACAGCAGAUGUGACUAAGAAAAUCACGCUGUUUCACUUAGAGCAGUGGGUCACCAAGUGUGGUCCUUAGGCCACACAGCUCAGCAUCACCUAGGAACUAGGAAAUGCAAGUUCUUAAGCAAUCCCACCCAGACCUACUGAAUUGGAAGUGCUGAGGAUGGGGUCCAGCAAUCUGUGGUUGAACAAGCUCUGCAGGCAUCCAGGAGCAGAGCUGUGGGGCAGCAGAAUCUGUGAUGACAGAGAAUGAUGAUGUAUUUUUGCCAGCAGAUGCUUUUGCUCCUGUUUUGAUACCCCAAUAUUCGGAUGCAGAAAAGGACUCUGAGCAUUGCUGAUGGGUGUGCUCUGCACACCUAUCUCUUCAGGAUCUGAAUAAUUUGGUGGAAAGACAAUGCCUUUUCUGGAAAAGGGUGUCAGGUCAGUCAUAUUGGAGGAUGCAAAUUUCCUUAUGUGAUGGGAGUGAGGGUUGGGGUAGGGCACUUCACGAAGCAUUCAGCAGUCUGCAAUUAAGCAUCACUCCAAGGCUUUCUGCAUAGGUGAUGGCUGUUUCUGCAUCAUGGGGCAAACCAGGUGCUAGAACUUCAAAUGCCAAUUACCAAAGGUGCUUCCUGUGGAGGAAACCUCUCUACAACUCACCUGACCCAGAAGGCACACAUUUUUUUCUGGGUUAACAUAAAUGCUAAAAUUGAAGAAAUGAAACAUUCUAAAGGCAGGAUCAUGUAGGUGAGAUCCUUUGCCUCCUAAGCUUUUGUCCUGCCAGUCUUUUCUGUGCCUUACCAUGAUACCUGUGCUAGAAGUCUUCUGGGAAGCUCUUGUAUAGAACCUCCAACUCUGGCAGGGUUAGUCUUCAGGGAUGCUUCAGGCAGAGACCUUCUCAAUGUCUAUCCUUGCGUCACAUGGGCAUUUGGGAGUAUAAGACAGCUGAGUUAGGGUCCUGUUCAGAGCCUGGGAUCAGGGAACCCCCAUAGUCUAAGGAAUACAGGAGUCCCUCUUCCCACUGCCAAGGACAAGGUUGCAAACCUGACUAGCGAAGCCCUUCUUCUGAUUAAGGCAACAUGGCCCCCUGGUUAUGAGUACAGAUUUCCAAAUCCAAUUAGUGUGGCUUUUAAUACCUGCUUUGCUAUCCAAUAGCCACAACAAUGAAAAAGUUGCCUAACUUUUCUCUGCCUUGAAUUCCUCAUCCAUAUAACAGAGAUGAAAAAACAAAACAAAACAAAAAUUUAUAGAUUAGAGUUAAAUGAGAGGAUUUGUGAAACUUCUGAUAGACAAAGCAUACUCAAAAAAUGGGAGUUUAUAAAAAGAACCAUCAACUAGCAAUGCAACCAAUUUAGACAAUUCCCUCUCCGGGUGUCUCGGCGUUCUGAUUCUAAUCUCUGAGAGCUGGCUCAGAACACAAGGGUGGCCCGCUUGGCCUCUAAAGUUUGAUGAUUCUCAGGUCCUGUAAAAGGACACUGAGGAAACCAUGAAAUGCCAGGGGAGGGACCAAGGCACUGUAACAGGGAAACCUGAGCCCACAGCGCCAUCUAGCCCGCUUGGCCCACGCCCCGCUGUGCCUGCAAGUGCAACCCGCCCAAGCAUCCUCCUCUUUUUAUUUUUUUAAAGUAUAAUUACUGGAGCUUAUGUUUCACAGUUAAUGCUGUCAAGCCUUUUAAACUAAUUGGUCUUUUAUAGAAAAUUUAACUGAAAAUUAACACAUCUUUUAAUAACAUUGCCUUAACUUUAAUGGCUCUCUGCCUUUCGUUUAUAAUUGCUCUAAAAUUGUCAUUUUCCAUGUCAUAGCUGCCAUUUUUUAUAUUUGCUAGUUUUCAUGGUGUAGAUUUUUAUUUUUAGUAUUUUUCUUUCGUGAGGGAUGAAAAUGAUUGGAUUUUUUUUUCCCUAUCCCAGGCCUGCCUGGCCUGAUGUGACAGCAGUGGUCUGUCCUGAGUCUAGCAGGACAUACCUCCAUGUACCCAACUGACACCACUGCUAGCUCCUCUGCCUCGGGACGGCCAUGUGCCCUCUGUCUCCGUGUGAGCAGUCGAAAUGGAGGCUCUUCAGUGGAGUGUAAGAAAUAGGGUUAUGGAGCAAUAAAUUGUUUAUGUAACUAAAAUCACAUGGCAUUAGGUUAGCUUGGACUGAUAGAGAACUCAGGCCUCUCCAUAACACCAGGUUCAAGGGUUUGGCCCUUAAUGAAAGUACAGGAAAGACAGUAAAUCAUGUGAACCCACAUUCCAGACGGUCACACCCUCCAGUCUUACUGAUAUAACUUCGUUUCUGGCAAACAGGCCAGCUCUCUGAUAUUAAAGAUGAGAACAUGGAAUCAUAUCUUCUGGGUACCCCAACUCAUCUACCCACUAAGCUCCCAAAUAUUAUCUAAGAUGUGUGUUCAUGAAAGAGAGAAAGAGAGAGGAUAAGUGCACACAAACACAUAAAUAUAUAUACAUAUAUGUACAUGCACAUAUACCAAAAAAAUCUGCUUCUUUGUAAUUACAUGUGAUCUUAAGAAAUACGUAUCUGCUCUGUGAAAGAUUUUUAUAUGCCUUUGCCAUUCUCCGAUUAGCAGAAAGUCAUAAGGAGUAACAUCAUUCCCAUUUAACAGUAGAAAAAAUGUGCAAGGGCUGCCGGUGAGCCAGGACCAGAAGCUACAAGUCCUAAUUCAUGGCCCAGUUUCCCUCCUCCAAGUCACUGCCUUUGUUCUGAAAAUAUGAAUGCACUGGACAUGCAAACUCCUGCCCUGGGCAUUGUGGUGCAGUGGGCAGAGCAAAGACACACCUGCCUUAACUGGCUCACAUUGAAAUUUCUCUCUAGCUCCUGGGGGAUCCUGCAGCAUGGGUCUCUCCAUAGGCUGGCAUUCACGCUUCUCAGAUGUAUCGUACACUAGCAAAAGGGGCCUCUGCUUUUCUCUGCUCUUUCUCUUAACACUGUUAUAAUAUGCUUUUUCUUUAUUUUUCCAGAUUAGGUAGGCCCUGCAAACCUAAAGCUUCAUUAAAUCUUGUUUUCUAAAAAAAAAACGACAACACUCCCAAAUUGUGUGCAUUGGAACUCAUUAGCUCUUGUAGUAGGGUUCCCCUUUUUCUCCUCAGAAGGAGGUGGCUCCUCACUGCUCCUUCAAUAACGAUGGUUCAGUGUGAUUGGUAUGUGUUUAGGAAAGGUCCAAGGCUCAAGGAAAAUGGACAUCAUGUGCACAACCUCCUAACUCAGAGGACAAGCAAGUGACCAGAAGGCCAAGGAUGCUGUCUGACCACAGACAUUGCAAUGCAGACACAUAAGAUUAGAAGCAAAACGCAGGAGGCUGGCAAGGCCAGGACAGUGGGAUGAACCAAGCAGGGAAGGGACAUGAAUGAAGCAGGCCUGGUGGGAUACAAUAGAGAGUAGUGUGGACUGUGGCUAAAGGGAGCAGCUGCUCAGCUCAAGCCAAUAGCUGCUUUACGGGAAUCUGGAACUCUGCCUUCUGACUCUAAUUUAAAGAAGGCAGGAACCCAGAUUUUAUAUAAAAUCUUAUUUUAAAAUAUUGGCAACAAAUUCAAUUUAAAAAUAAAAACUUGAUAAAU
rnacentral:antisense_RNA from 1 species